GACGAACGCUGGCGGCGUGCUUAACACAUGCAAGUCGAACGGUAAGGCCCUUCGGGGUACACGAGUGGCGAACGGGUGAGUAACACGUGGGUGAUCUGCCCUGCACUUCGGGAUAAGCUUGGGAAACUGGGUCUAAUACCGGAUAGGACCACGGUCUGCAUGGAUUGUGGUGGAAAGCUUUUGCGGUGUGGGAUGGGCCCGCGGCCUAUCAGCUUGUUGGUGGGGUGAUGGCCUACCAAGGCGACGACGGGUAGCCGGCCUGAGAGGGUGUCCGGCCACACUGGGACUGAGAUACGGCCCAGACUCCUACGGGAGGCAGCAGUGGGGAAUUUUGCGUCAAUGGGGGAAACCCUGACGCAGCAACGCCGCGUGGAUGACGAAGGCCUUCGGGUCGUAAAGUCCUGUUCUGGGGGAAGAAAAGCAGAGGACCAAUACCCCUCUGCCCUGACGGUACCCCAGCAGAAAGCUCCGGCCAAUUAUGUGCCAGCAGCCGCGGUAAAAUCAACGUGUA
rnacentral:rRNA from 1 species